CAAUUUUAUCCAUAAUACAUAAUUAUUUUAUAAAAAUACAGAUUUAAAAUAUGGAGAGACAAACAUAAUACAUGAUAAACCCGUGAUGGAUAUAACGGAAAGACAAACAUCAUCUUUAUUAAUACAUCUUGAGAUAAUCCUGCUCAAGUUAGAGAAAAAAAUUCCCUAGCUAAGCUUUAUGCAGUGAAAUGAGCCCAAACACGGCCUUAGUCUCCCUCAAUUUCUCCAAAGUCCUAACCCUAGUUUUUUCCUGUUUCUUAGUAAAUCUUUCCCCAAGAUUUUUGAUGGAACUCCCAGACGACAUCUUAACUCGUUUGCCCACCGGAUCAUUUUCAGAAUCCAAAUUGGAGAGAUGUUGUUCAUCAUCCAUCCAUCAUUCUCUCAAAACCAUUUAAAUCAUCUCUAUUCUUCAGCUAAUGAUUCAGAUUCAAGUCCACUUUCAAGAUCUUGGAGAUUCAUCUCUACUACUUCCAAUGGCUUUUUGACAACUCUGAUUUAAACUUCUUUGGUUUAUAAUGCAACUUUGAUAAUUUGGUGCGCUUCACCUUUGGUGGACAUCAGUUUAGAGAUCAAAGACUUGUUCUGAAGAUCUUAGUCGGCACCAAUACAUAUAUUAAAAGCAAUGUCAAUGCUCCUUAAUCAUUUAAACAAAUCCAGUAUGUACAGUAAAAAUUCCAUGAGGCAUUUCCUAAUAAAAGGCGGAAAAUACCAAUGGGAGAUCAAUAUAUCUAUGGAUCUAUUGGUUGAGGAUGUUAAGAAGUGAAACUCGGUUCUUGAUCAGACACCUAAAGACAGAUUCUAGUCCAUCUUCAAGUUCUUGAAGGUUCAUUUCAAGGGAAGCCAAUGACUUCUGCACUUCUUUUGCUUCAAUGGCUUUGGAUUUCAAUGCGACAUCGACCUUGGUUACUUCAUUGACAACUUGUUGGGUUGCACUUUUGGUGGUCAACUUUGAGACUAGUGACCUUUGCUUUGGUGCAGAUAAGAAAGACAAGAUAGAUUCAAAGACUGCAAGAGCCUUUUUUCUUGAGGUCAUGUAUGCAUCUAAUUCGUUUGAUUGCCUUCGGAUAGAUGAUUGAAGAUCUUGGGCAGAUUGCUUCAUUUGAGAAGAAACAUCCUUAACGGCUCCACAGACAUCCAACAACAUGACAGAUCUGUCCAAGACUGUGUCGAAGCAUUUUCCAUCUUCGGUAGAGAGGAAAUCCUCAACACAUUCAUACAAGUUUGUUAGAGCAACCAAGUUGUUGGAGAUGGAUGAGGUGAGAACCGAAGAUCUCAAUAUGCAGAGUUGUUCUUCAACUGCAGCAGUGAAUGGGUUGGAUCUGGUGGGCAAACUGAUUGAACGAGCAUGGAAAGUUUUGUUUGAGGAAGACAUUUUCGCCUAUUUUAAAGAGGAAGAAGAUAAAAGUUAAUGUAGAGAAUGAUGUUUUGAUGAUGGCUAUUGGUUCUCACCUGGUGCUCCUUUUAUAGUCAAGACACAGGCUACAAUGUUCAGCAAGGGGAUGUAUAUAUUCAUGUGGUGGAACUUCCUCUAUACAUGCCAUUGUCUCCGCACUGUUCCCUCCAUAAAUGACAAAUAGUACGUUCCCUACUGACUCUAUAGCAUCAAUUAAUGUAUGAAUUUUAUAUCAUAAAUAACGAAUACUAUAGAAUUAGCCAAUUGUGCAAGUACGUGCAUUAAUGCGUUACUGCCUUGAAAGAUUUGUAAUGAUACACAUAGUGAUCGAUAUAUACGUUUCCCAACCAUUGGAAUCUUGACAGCCUUGUGUUUUAUUAUAAAUGUCCGAACUUAGGAACCAAAAAGCAUGUUAACAGAUAGUGUAAAAUGAUAUUUCAACUUACUAACACUGUGCAAUUUAUUAAUUAUCUCUGUCUCGGAAACAAGAUGAAUCAAAUGGCUCCUCCUGUUGUCUAUAUUUGUUUGGUUGUUAUGCGAAUAUCUCUCCAUGUAGCAUAUCAAGAUAAAUAGUAACUAAAGAAUUAUAUAUCCAAUAAGUUGCAAGGGACAGUCAAUUGAACAGUCACAAAAUCAGCCAUUAGUCCGCGGAAGAUUAGCAAGCUGUUCAAUUUUUCCUGGAUACCCUGGCCCGUCAAAAAAAAAAGUGACAAAAUUUGGAACCUCUAUAUUGAAACUUUUCAGCGAAGUCUAACCUUAAGAUAUAG